UUUAGGGAGACCCCCUUUUGAGUGAGUGCUUAUCAGUUUAGACUGAUGAGUGAGAAAAAAACUCAAAAGUCAUCCCGAGGUCGUGCGCAAGGAUAUAAGUGUAGGCUUUCAAACUAUAAGUAAGGUUCGAAUAUGGGCUAUUAGCUCAGGUGGUUAGAGCGCACCCCUGAUAAGGGUGAGGUCCCUGGUUCGAGUCCAGGAUGGCCCACCUGAAGUCAAUUCAAAAGUAAAAGAGAUUUAGUUCUUUUGAGAGAUUUGAAUUGUUGUAGGGGGGUAUAGCCCAGUUGGUAGAGCGCCUGCUUUGCAAGCAGGAUGUCAGGAGUUCGAGUCUCCUUACCUCCACCUGCUAAGUACAAAAUUUGUUCACGAAUGUGUUGUUAAAUUCAGAGUGUAUUGUUAGUAUCUCGAAAGACUAGCAAGAAUGGUAUUGGUAUAAACACAACAAGUGAGAUAAUUUAGUAUUUAAACAUCGUAAAGAGUGGUUAAGAUUCAGCAUCUUGUGGAAGACGCAAGACUGCUGGAAUGACAACCAGCAAAAGAACCUUGAAAACUGCAUAGAGACGCGAAAAUUGUCAGGUAGUUAACUCGUAAAGAGUUAAAGCUCCAAGCAUAAGCAGCAAUGAUUGUUUGU
rnacentral:tRNA from 1 species